rnacentral:tRNA from 1 species
CGCAGGGUAGAGCAGUCUGGUAGCUCGUGGGGCUCAUAAUCCCGAGGUCAUAGGUUCGAAUCCUGUCCCUGCUA